rnacentral:rRNA from 1 species
GAACCCUGGCGGCGUGCUAACACAUGCAAGUCGGACGAUGAUGCCCUUCGGGGUGGAUUAGUGGCGAACGGGUGAGUAACACGUGAGCAACCUGCCCUUGACUCUGGGAUAAGCCUGGGAAACUGGGUCUAAUACCGGAUAGUACUCCCUGCCGCAUGGUGGGGGGUGGAAAGCCUUGUGCGGUCUUGGAUGGGCUCGCGGCCUAUCAGCUUGUUGGUGGGGUGAUGGCCUACCAAGGCGACGACGGGUAGCCGGCCUGAGAGGGUGACCGGCCACACUGGGACUGAGACACGGCCCAGACUCCUACGGGAGGCAGCAGUGGGGAAUAUUGCACAAUGGGCGGAAGCCUGAUGCAGCGACGCCGCGUGGGGGAUGACGGCCUUCGGGUUGUAAACCCCUUUCAGCAGGGAACAAGCGAGAGUGAGGGUACCUGCAGAAGAAGCGCCGGCUAACUACGUGCCAGCAGCCGCGGUAAUACGUAGGGCGCGAGCGUUAUCCGGAAUUAUUGGGCGUAAAGAGCUCGUAGGCGGUUUGUCGCGUCUGCUGUGAAAGCCCGGGGCUCAACCCCGGGUCUGCAGUGGGUACGGGCAGGCUGGAGUGCAGUAGGGGAGACUGGAAUUCCUGGUGUAGCGGUGAAAUGCGCAGAUAUCAGAGGAACACCCGAUGGCGAAAGCAGGUUCUUCUUGGGCUUGUAACUGACGCUGAGGAACCAAAAGCUGGGGAGCGAACAGGAUUAGAUACCCUGGUAGUCCAUGCCGUAAACGUUGGGCACUUAGGUGUUGGGGGCCCAUUCCACGGUUUUCCGGGCCG